CUGGGAACGCCUCGGGAUCCCCCGGGAAGAGCUAGACGAAGUGGCUGGGGAAAGGGAAGUCUGGGCUUCCCUGCUUAGGCUGCUGCCCCCGCGACCCGACCUCGGAUAAGCGGAAGAAGAUGGAUGGAUGGAUGGAACUUCACCUUUAUCGUUAGUUUUUUACGUCAAAAAUCUCUCUUUUCGGUCUACAUUCUGUGUCUGCUUCUAAGUACUCCAUGAUGGUGUGCUGCCGAACAUGCUCCCCUGCUUGUAAAACCAGAAAUGUCAUGAAGCGAUGACGACGCGCCGUCAUGCCCGUUAAAAAAGGGAGUCUGGGGGGGAAACCGGUACUUUUUAGAAGCAGUAUAGUACCGAAUAUGAUUGAUUCAUUCAUACUGCGGUACUAUACCAGUACCGGUAUACCGUACAACCCUACAAUAUACAACUUCAACCCUUUACUAAUACCCUCCUCCAUUCACAUCCCAUCUCACCCGGUUUAUAUAUAACCUAAUGUAAGUAAUCAAAUGUAUUUCUAAUGUAUAUUCUUGUUCUUAUGCUAUCUGAACUCACUAUGUUCUCUGCUGGCUGUACAUAUCUUACCAAGUAAGACCUACACUGUUUCAAUGUCCACAUUUCUCUGUUGAUGCAAUUGUUGAUGACUGAAGUACUGAUAUCAACCAAAGCUCCUCAUCCCACCCCCCGGAUUGUAAAUAAUGUAAUUAAUUCAAUGUAUAUACUAUGAUGAUUAACCUGUAUGAUGACUGUAUUAUGCUGAUAGUAUAUAUGUAGCCGAGCUAAAUUUAAUUUAAUUUUAUUUUUAAUUUUUGGUAAUUUAUUUCACAUAAUUUUAUUUCACAUCAUUUUCUGUUGUGAACUUCCCCAAAAGUGUCUGUCAUUGUAAAUAGGUUCCGCCCUAUUGUUUUCUAUUACAUACCUUUUUGUUUCCCUGGGGGGUGAUUUGGCGUUGCACCUGUGUGACCAGCUUCAGUGAGCACUGACUCCUGCAGCUGGUAAGUCAUGCUUAUGUCUCUCUCCUUUUUAUUUUUUUAUAAACUUUUUGCCUGUCACUUUUAAAGUAUUUUCAAAGUGAACACUGUUUUGUGGCAUGCUGUUAAGCAUCCGGGUUGAAUUCCCGAAUUUUCGUUUUAUUAAAGUGUUGUAAAAAACGGACUUAUUUGCUAAAUGAUGUGUGGAUUAGCUUAAUGCUAGCAGCAGUUGCUGCGGGGUUUCCUGGCCUCGUGAGUUUGUGCACGGGUUGGGGGUACUCUGCUGCGUCUGUGUGGACAUCUUGUGUGCUGCUGUGCCAUUAAUGUGUGUGUGUUUUUUUCCCUUUUCUUUAUUCUGUAGUGGAGAGAGAUACUGUGGACUGUAUGUGACGCCCUUUUCUUUUUGUCCCUAUGAAAAAGCAUAAGUUAGAGUUUCGGUGAGCACUGACUCCUGCAGCUGUGGAGAGAGAUACUGUGGCUGUAUGUGACGCCCUUUUCUUUUUGUCCCUAUGAAAAAGCUGGUGAAUAAAUCCUCCUCAACUCGAA